AAACUUAAAGGAAUUGACGGAAGGGCACCACCAGGAGUGGAGCCUGCGGCUUAAUUUGACUCAACACGGGAAACCUCACCCGGCCCGGACACCGCGAGGAUUGACAGACUGAGGGCUCUUUCUCGAUUCGGUGGGUGGUGGUGCAUGGCCGUUCUUAGUUGGUGGAGCGAUCUGUCUGGUUAAUUCCGAUAACGAACGAGACCCCAUCCUGCUAACUAGCCCUCGGGUCCGGCUUCUGGCGGGCCCGACGGAAUGACUCGCUUCUUAGAGGGACUCGCGGCGCCUAGCCGCACGAAGGGGGGC
rnacentral:rRNA from 1 species